CAUUAAGAAGCUAUGCAUCAGCACUAGCCUUUUAAGCUAGAGAAAGAGGAAGACCCCCACCCCUCCUUAAUGA
rnacentral:tRNA from 1 species